GAUGAACGCUGGCGGCGUGCUUAACACAUGCAAGUCGAACGGCAAGAUGAAGCCUAGCGAUUCUUGUUAGUGGCGGACGGGUGAGUAACGCGUGGGUAACCUGCCUCACACUGGGGGAUAACAGUUGAAAUGACUGCUAAUACCGCAUAAGCGCACGGGAUUGCAUGAUCCUGUGUGAAAAACUCCGGUGGUGUGAGAUGGACCCGCGUCUGAUUAGCUAGUUGGUGGGGUAACGGCCUACCAAGGCGACGAUCAGUAGCCGGCCUGAGAGGGUGACCGGCCACAUUGGGACUGAGACACGGCCCAAACUCCUACGGGAGGCAGCAGUGGGGAAUAUUGCACAAUGGGGGAAACCCUGAUGCAGCAACGCCGCGUGAGUGAAGAAGUAUUUCGGUAUGUAAAGCUCUAUCAGCAGGGAAGAAAAUGACGGUACCUGACUAAGAAGCUCCGGCUAAAUACGUG
rnacentral:rRNA from 1 species